rnacentral:rRNA from 1 species
UACGGAGGGUGCAAGCGUUAUCCGGAAUCAUUGGGUUUAAAGGGUCCGCAGGCGGGAAGAUAAGUCAGUGGUGAAAUCUCACAGCUCAACUGUGAAACUGCCAUUGAUACUGUCUUUCUUGAAUUCGAUCGAAGUGGGCGGAAUGUGACAUGUAGCGGUGAAAUGCUUAGAUAUGUCACAGAACACCGAUAGCGAAGGCAGCUCACUAGGUCUGGAUUGACGCUCAGGGACGAAAGCGUGGGUAGCAAACAGG